CUUGGACAAAACAUUUAUUUAGGAUAUUUCAGUAAGAAGCCAAUAUGGGUCUUUCAGCUUAUGUAAAUAUCUCUCUUAUCUGCUGACAAAGAAUGAAACAAAGACCAUCUGAGGCAAAAGAAACACAAGUAAAAACCACUGAAGCUGGUUACUAACUUGUCAGGCAAGGGAGCACAACCAGUGUUUCCCCUUGUAGGGGGAAGUCAGGGUUGUUUAAGGGCUAGAAAGGAGACACUGGUGAUGGUUAUGCUAAGCACUGAAAACUAGUGCUCCAGAUAGAAAGGAACUGGUUAAAACAAUCCUCACUCUUCACAGGGGUUAGAAAACAGUCUUCUGUUUGGUCCAAUGUGGGUCUGGUAUCUGGGGUCCUUCACAGUGCAAGGUUCUUAAACAUCUGCAGUUGGUUAGAACUGUCGUAGUGAAAACAAGCAUUCCUUUUUGAUACCUCAUAGGCAAGUGCUGUUAAGUAGAACAUUUCCUUUUACACUGCAUGACACUUAACGCAAAUAUUUCCACACUGGGUCGGACCAAGGGUUCACAGUGAUAGAGUCACACAAGUACAGUGACAGCCCCUCACUCCAGACAUUGAUAAGAGCACGUUAAAUAUCACUAUGGUUUUGUGAGCCGGAGAAAUGUCACUCUCACUACACUACAUUCUGUCUUCUUUCCAUCCUUGUUCCAUUCACCCUCUGUAGGUGACCAGUCUCUUUCAUUUCUGGUUUAUCCUUACUGCAUUUCUUUUGCACAAAUGUGCAGAUACAUGUACACUUUCUCAUGUCCUCUUCUUUCUUCUAUGAAGAGCUGUUUACUGUAGACACUCUUGGGCUUUGCUUACUUCACUGAACACUAUGUCCUGGAAUUCACUCCAUAUUCAUUCAUACAGCUCUUCCUCAAUUCUUUUUUAUAACUGCACACUGCUUCAUCUUAUUGAUGUGCCAUGAUUUAUUCAACCACUAAAUACUGGACGUUUAGGUGUUUCCAAUAUUUUGCAAUGAGAAACAAUGCUGCAAUGAAUAACCUUGUGCAUAUGUGUUUUAUUAUCAUCAGAAGUGCGUUUUCGGAGUGGAUCCCUAGAAGUGGGAUUGCUGGGUCAAAAGGUCAGGCAUGGCAGGCGUACAGCACAGGAACUGAGAGAACCUGCUCCUGUAUCCAUGGCAGGCAUCACAGAUUGAUCAUGGACAUUUUCCCACUAGUUACAGAAGCAGAUCCUAAACAGUUAAUCAAAACAUAUCAUGAAAUCAAACCUACUUGUCAUUAAAAAUAUUUAGUGUUUUAAUAUAAAGUUGUAUAAAUUCUCUCAAUAAUAAUUAGGUUAAAAUUUUAAGUAGUGAUAUUGGUAAACCUGGGUACCUUCUGGUGAGGUACUGCAGGGGGUAUAACUGGGAGAUGCCAAGAGGAAUUUAGUCGCCAUUCACCAAAAUUCCUGCUGUGUUCUAAGUUCUGUGUUCAGGAGUUUAAAUAAUAUGGUCCUUGUCCUCUUGGACUGCCAGGUAAGCAGAGGAGACAAACAGAUGCAAAAAUGGCCAUAAUACAACGCAGGAAGUGAGAAAGUCCAUACAAACCAAGUGGCUGAGAAGCUGGUGGCAGAACUGGUGAAGGUUCCUUGGAGCAGGACUCAUCAGAAUUGGCCUUUGUACAUUUGGUGGGACCAGCAGAGCCUGCGAAAAGAGUGCUCUGGGCUGAGGAUGAAAGAGUGCUCUAGGUUUAAGGGGGAGGGAGGGGCAAUGUCAUGUAAUGAUGGCUCUGGCACAGUCACACUGAACAUCACCCUGAGGCCACCAGCUUGAGGCUUUGAGCACCCCUGCAGUCAGGUCAGGGCAGAGGCUCCUCCAUAGCCUGUCAUGUAAGAUAAAUGACCACAAAAGCACUUCAUUCAUCUGGAAAUUACCCCUUUACAAAUCUCAGCUGACAGGAACAAGGUCUCUGUGCAGCCGUGACAGAUGCCCCAAAGGCCAAGCACUAAAACCUAGGAUGCUUCACUCAGGAAAGUCAGCUGGUUCCUGACUCACAGCCUGUUUUGCUUCCUUUUACCCAUGAUGCUGAUACAGGAGUUAAGAAGAAAUUAUUUAGGCAGAUAGUGGGGGUAAGGAAGUCCUCGGUAAGGUUUUCCUUUAAUGAAAAGCAGCUCCCAAAUCAUUUUCUUUUCUAACAAAGAACAGCUUGUAAAAUUGAGCUGCAGACAUAGACAAGGAAGCUGGAAGCUUGCACGGGUGAAUAUCAGCAGCUGUGUCAAUACGAAAAGGGUACCUGGGGGCUACACAUGUCCAAUAGGGUGGCUCCAUCUUCCCCUUUCCUUGUCAACCAGGUGCACAGUAAGGGGCAGGCAACAUCGCACUGGCCAAGUAGAGAUCCCAUUUGCAUAAUAAAAGAUUAGGGUGGGGUGGCCAGAUUCCUGGCAAGCUAUGUAAACGUCACACCUGGUCCAACCAAUCUUCAGGCCUUGUGUAAAUCAGACCCUGGCUCCUCAAGCCUGUCUAUAAAACCCUGUGCACUCUGCUGGUCCCACUCGGGCACCCCUGUCUCACAGGAGAGAGAACUGUUCUCCUUUCUCUUUCUUUUGCCUGUUAAACCUCUGCUCUUAACCUCACUCCACGUGCCUCUGUGUCCUUGAUUCCUCAGCAUGAGGCAACGAACCUCGGGUAUUUACCCCAGACAACCAUGCUGCUUCAAUGCCAGCAAGUUGUGCUGUUUGGUUUUCUAGACCAUAAUAAAAGGAUGUGAUUGGAUUGGGUCGGUGUAAAAGCAGACAUGCAGAGAGAAACAAGAAGUGUCAGCUACCAGCAGGAGAUUUGUAGGAGCAUUGUGACCUGACCAAGCACAAAAAAGUUCCCAACCUCAUUGGAUCCUUGCUCCCAGAUGUCUGCGGUAGUCCAUUAUCUCUUGAUCCUACCCACCUCCUCUUCCUCCUGCCCUGAAUGUAGAAAGAGCCUAAAAUUUGUA
rnacentral:lncRNA from 1 species